CUGAUUAGCUUGUUGGCGGGGUAACGGCCCACCAAGGCGACGAUCAGUAGGGGUUCUGAGAGGAAGGUCCCCCACAUUGGAACUGAGACACGGUCCAAACUCCUACGGGAGGCAGCAGUGAGGAAUAUUGGUCAAUGGGCGAGAGCCUGAACCAGCCAAGUAGCGUGAAGGAUGACUGCCCUAUGGGUUGUAAACUUCUUUUAUACGGGAAUAAAGUGAGGCACGUGUGCCUUUUUGUAUGUACCGUAUGAAUAAGGAUCGGCUAACUCCGUGCCAGCAGCCGCGGUAAUACGGAGGAUCCGAGCGUUAUCCGGAUUUAUUGGGUUUAAAGGGAGCGUAGGUGGAUUGUUAAGUCAGUUGUGAAAGUUUGCGGCUCAACCGUAAAAUUGCAGUUGAUACUGGCAGUCUUGAGUACAGUAGAGGUGGGCGGAAUUCGUGGUGUAGCGGUGAAAUGCUUAGAUAUCACGAAGAACUCCGAUUGCGAAGGCAGCUCACUGGACUGCAACUGACACUGAUGCUCGAAAGUGUGGGUAUCAAACAGGAUUAGAUACCCUGGUAGUCCACACAGUAAACGAUGAAUACUCGCUGUUUGCGAUAUACAGUAAGCGGCCAAGCGAAAGCAUUAAGUAUUCCACCUGGGGAGUACGCCGGCAACGGUGAAACUCAAAGGAAUUGACGGGGGCCCGCACAAGCGGAGGAACAUGUGGUUUAAUUCGAUGAUACGCGAGGAACCUUACCCGGGCUUGAAUUGCAGAGGAAGGAUUUGGAGACAAUGACGCCCUUCGGGGUCUCUGUGAAGGUGCUGCAUGGUUGUCGUCAGCUCGUGCCGUGAGGUGUCGGCUUAAGUGCCAUAACGAGCGCAACCCCUCUCCUUAGUUGCCAUCAGGUUAAGCUGGGCACUCUGGGGACACUGCCACCGUAAGGUGUGAGGAAGGUGGGGAUGACGUCAAAUCAGCACGGCCCUUACGUCCGGGGCUACACACGUGUUACAAUGGGGGGUACAGAAGGCAGCUACCUGGUGACAGGAUGCCAAUCUCGAAAGCCGGUCUCAGUUCGGAUUGGAGUCUGCAACCCGACUCCAUGAAGCUGGAUUCGCUAGUAAUCGCGCAUCAGCCAUGGCGCGGUGAAUAC
rnacentral:rRNA from 1 species